rnacentral:rRNA from 1 species
AGUGAACGCUGGCGGUAGGCCUAACACAUGCAAGUCGAACGGCAGCACAGUAAGAGCUUGCUCUUACGGGUGGCGAGUGGCGGACGGGUGAGGAAUACAUCGGAAUCUACUUUUUCGUGGGGGAUAACGUAGGGAAACUUACGCUAAUACCGCAUACGACCUACGGGUGAAAGCAGGGGAUCUUCGGACCUUGCGCGAUUGAAUGAGCCGAUGUCGGAGUAGCUAGUUGGCGGGGUAAGGGCCCACCAAGGCGACGAUCCGUAGCUGGUCUGAGAGGAUGAUCAGCCACACUGGAACUGAGACACGGUCCAGACUCCUACGGGAGGCAGCAGUGGGGAAUAUUGGACAAUGGGCGCAAGCCUGAUCCAGCAAUACCGCGUGGGUGAAGAAGGCCUUCGGGUUGUAAAGCCCUUUUGUUGGGAAAGAAAAGCAGCAGGUUAAUACCCCGCUGUUCUGACGGUACCCAAAGAAUAAGCACCGGCUAACUUCGUG